GACUAGAUAGCCUGGGGGUAAAGGCGUCACAUUGAAAAUGUUAAGGUCCUUGAUUUCAAUCCAGCUCUAGUCA
rnacentral:tRNA from 1 species